GGGCCGAUGCCCGAGUGGUUAAUUGGGACGAACUAUAAAUUCGUUGACAAUGUCUACGUUGGUUCAAAUCCAAGCCGGUCCA
rnacentral:tRNA from 1 species